GCCCCCCUAGCUCAAUUGGUCAGAGCAGUGGACUUUUAAUCCAUUGGUUGUGGGUUCGAGUCCCACGGGGGGUACAA
rnacentral:tRNA from 2 species